rnacentral:rRNA from 1 species
GCUUAACACAUGCAAGUCGAGGGGCAUCAGGAAGAUUGCUUGCUUUCUUUGCUGGCGACCGGCGCACGGGUGAGUAACACGUAUCCAACCUGCCCUUUACUCGGGGAUAGCCUUUCGAAAGAAAGAUUAAUACCCGAUAGCAUAAUGAUUCCGCAUGGUUUCAUUAUUAAAGGAUUCCGGUAAAGGAUGGGGAUGCGUUCCAUUAGGUUGUUGGUGGGGUAACGGCCCACCAAGCCUUCGAUGGAUAGGGGUUUUGAGAGGAAGGUCCCCCACAUUGGAACUGAGACACGGUCCAAACUCCUACGGGAGGCAGCAGUGAGGAAUAUUGGUCAAUGGGCGCUAGCCUGAACCAGCCAAGUAGCGUGAAGGAUGAAGGCUCUAUGGGUCGUAAACUUCUUUUAUAUAAGAAUAAAGUGCAGUAUGUAUACUGUUUUGUAUGUAUUAUAUGAAUAAGGAUCGGCUAACUCCGUGCCAGCAGCCGCGGUAAUACGGAGGAUCCGAGCGUUAUCCGGAUUUAUUGGGUUUAAAGGGAGCGUAGGUGGACUGGUAAGUCAGUUGUGAAAGUUUGCGGCUCAACCGUAAAAUUGCAGUUGAUACUGUCAGUCUUGAGUACAGUAGAGGUGGGCGGAAUUCGUGGUGUAGCGGUGAAAUGCUUAGAUAUCACGAAGAACUCCGAUUGCGAAGGCAGCUCACUGGACUGCAACUGACACCGAUGCUCGAAAGUGUGGGUAUCAAACAGGAUUAGAUACCCUGGUAGUCCACACAGUAAACGAUGAAUACUCGCUGUUUGCGAUAUACAGUAAGCGGCCAAGCGAAAGCAUUAAGUAUUCCACCUGGGGAGUACGCCGGCAACGGUGAAACUCAAAGGAAUUGACGGGGGCCCGCACAAGCGGAGGAACAUGUGGUUUAAUUCGAUGAUACGCGAGGAACCUUACCCGGGCUUAAAUUGCAGUGGAAUGAUGUGGAAACAUGUCAGUGAGCAAUCACCGCUGUGAAGGUGCUGCAUGGUUGUCGUCAGCUCGUGCCGUGAGGUGUCGGCUUAAGUGCCAUAACGAGCGCAACCCUUAUCUUCAGUUACUAACAGGUCAUGCUGAGGACUCUGGAGAGACUGCCGUCGUAAGAUGUGAGGAAGGUGGGGAUGACGUCAAAUCAGCACGGCCCUUACGUCCGGGGCUACACACGUGUUACAAUGGGGGGUACAGAAGGCAGCUAGCGGGUGACCGUAUGCUAAUCCCAAAAUCCUCUCUCAGUUCGGAUCGAAGUCUGCAACCCGACUUCGUGAAGCUGGAUUCGCUAGUAAUCGCGCAUCAGCCACGGCGCGGUGAAUACGUUCCCGGGCCUUGUACACACCGCCCGUCAAGCCAUGGGAGCCGGGGGUACCUGAAGUACGUAACCGCAAGGAUCGUCCUAGGGUAAAACUGGUGACUG